GAUGAACGCUGGCGGCGUGCCUAAUACAUGCAAGUCGAGCGAACGGACGAGAAGCUUGCUUCUCUGAUGUUAGCGGCGGACGGGUGAGUAACACGUGGAUAACCUACCUAUAAGACUGGGAUAACUUCGGGAAACCGGAGCUAAUACCGGAUAAUAUUUUGAAUCGCAUGGUUCAAAAGUGAAAGACGGUCUUGCUGUCACUUAUAGAUGGAUCCGCGCUGCAUUAGCUAGUUGGUAAGGUAACGGCUUACCAAGGCAACGAUGCAUAGCCGACCUGAGAGGGUGAUCGGCCACACUGGAACUGAGACACGGUCCAGACUCCUACGGGAGGCAGCGGUAGGGAAUCUUCCGCAAAGGGCGAAAGCCUGACGGAGCAACGCCGCGUGAGUGAUGAAGGUCUUCGGAUCGUAAAACUCUGUUAUUAGGGAAGAACAUAUGUGUAAGUAACUGUGCACAUCUUGACGGUACCUAAUCAGAAAGCCACGGCUAACUACGUG
rnacentral:rRNA from 1 species